rnacentral:tRNA from 5 species
GGGCGUGUGGCUCAGUGGUAGAGCGUCCGCUUUGCAUGCGGAAGGUCCAGGUUUCGAUCACCUGCCCGUCCA